UGGCAUCACCCCGAGAAAGGUUAAGUGGACCCACCCUCUGGCACACAGCUAAGUACAAGUUGUUGAGAAAAUGUUUGCAGCAAGGGGACAUAUGAUCUGGUUCUUCAGCAGCAUCACUGUCCCAACCAUUGGCCCCUCGUGCCCCAGAGCCCACCUCCCAGCCCUUCGCAGCCAAGUUCAGCGUCAGGAUCCCCUGCCUGCUUCUGUGUGGGUGUCCACGGAGCUGUAAUGUCUCUGGAAAAUGGGAUCCAUACGCAGACAUUGCCUGGAAGCCAAACAGCCUUCCUGAUGGGUAUUCCCCACGGGAUAACGUCCCCAAUCCAGUGACAAAGUUUCAACAGAACUGAGCGGCCGUCUGGGUGUGUUUCAGGGACGGGCCUGUCCCUCUGCAGCAGUUGGAGGCCUCGGCGUCCAUGGAGGCAAUGUCUCUGGGGGUGCCAAGGAGGCCUAUCGCUGUGUUUGAGGUUGGAAAGUUCUAGAAGCCCUAUGUAAGCAGCACACAAGAAGAGCAUCGCCAAGCUCUACUGUGGAAACCUCGGGUUUCUGGAGCAACUGGUGGGCUCUGUGUGACCCUGAGGAUUACGUAACCAAGAAAGUUCUCGUCUGCGCCGGAGCUCAGAGUGAAACCCGAGGCCCAGUUAGAGCUCCUGAGUCAGUCCUCCCAGAGAUGAAAAGACGUGCACGCCCGUAACAGGACCGAGUGGAUGAAGCUCAUGAACCACGCACGAUUGGGGCAUCCGUGCACCCGUGUCGCGGCACUGCUGCCGUCGGAAGGGGACGUCCACCCCAGGCACGUCCUGAGAAGGGGACGUCCACCCCAGGCACGUCCUGAGACAGGAGCACAGCUCCAUCUGGGGGAGGCCCGAACGGGAUGAACAUUUUGUCCGGGCAGCCGGAGGAGCUGGCUUGUGCAGGGGCUGGCUUCCUAAAAAGGGGCCGACAGCUCCUGUUCCCAGUGGGUAGCUUUGCCUCUCAGAAGAAUCUGGAGAAGGCAGUGUUAUGAGGCAAUGGUCUAGCUCUUCCCUGACUUCCCCGGGGACGCCCACACAAAGCCGGAGAGGAAAUAACCCUCGAGUCAUAGGAUGCAGUGGGUUUGGGUGUGACACUGGUGUGGGUUCAAAUCCCACCUCUGAGGAUCUUCAGAGAAAGUCCAGGCUUACAGCAAAUGAGCCGCCCUGCCAGGCCUCUGCCCAAUGAGCCGUAACAGAGAAGCUUCUCGAUCCAGAAGCUUCCACUCUGAUGGGGUUUGAUGGAACCUGAAGACUCGUAAACCACAGGAAGUCUCCCGAGGACAAAGGCCUCAUUUCCAAUGAGGACAGCUGGAGAUUUGGCAGAGGGACGCACCCCGCAGGCCACAGAUCGCUGGAGCCACAGUCUGGAGGCAGCUUCAUGCUGCACCCUGGCUUCCCACACGGGGGGACGCUGGAGCUUGGGGCAAGGCGGGUCCAAGAUGCACCUUCCCGUCGGCACCCUGGGAGCCAAGGGCCACCGUCCCCGUGAAUGGGAUCAAGCAGGAAGACGACCCAGGGAGCAGCCGUGGAGCUCCUAUGUCACCUGUGGAUGGUGAAGUCCUUCUAGAACCACUGGGCUCUGCGGAGCUCAGAGAGCCCCACUCCCACCCUGUAAGCUCCGUCAUGGGCUGCCAGCCGGGGGACCACCUAUUCCUUCCUUCCUUCCAAGUAAAGGGGGCGCCUGGGGGGGCUCAGCUGUUGAGAACCUGCCUUGGGCCCAGGGCGUGACCCCGAGGU